UGCAAUUAUAAAUAGAGUAGAGAUAUCUUAAAUAAAAUAUGAUCAAUUCAAGAGAGUGGAAUACAAAGAAUGGAACAGUGACUCUUUAAUGUAUAAAAGAGCUGUGGUGCUUUAUUUAAGUCUUUUACAUUUGAAAGAAUAGGCUGAUGUCGAUUCUGAAGACGUUGGAGGUUACAUAGCUUCCUGUUCUCAACUGUAAACCAGCAUUCAACCAGGAUCCACCAGAGAUCUAUGCAGGCAGAGCAAGCCAGACCUGGGACCGCCUUGGACCGACUGAUUCAGCACAAGGUCGUGAAAGAUCUACUGAAACAUGCAAGAAAAAUGUCAGCCUAUGUUGACGGGGGCCCUGGUGGUGAUGGCCAUAGCCCUGCUGAUCUCAGUGUGCGUCAACAUUGUUCAAUACUACCUCAGACAAAGGAAAAACUCAAAGACAGACAGUAUCGAGAGGAGGUAUCAAAGACAGAGUUCCAGCUCUAGUAUGGAGAAUGGAGUCUAUCGCUUUCACGAUGAUAUCCCCGAGCAUCAAGAGAAUCCUAUUUAUGGAAACAUUCUCAAAGUAAGAAGAGUGAAAGGGUGCACUGCGCCGCGGGAAUCGAUGACCCUGCAGCAUGCACAAGGCAACAAGCCCUCAGAGUCCCACAUGAACUACGCCUCCCUGGACCUCAAGGAGACCAAGCGGGGCCACAAGAAGAAAACGGCGUGCACCCGGGGCCCACCGGGGAACCCCGCCCGGACCUCCAGGCCACCCUGCUCCGGCCACCCGGGGAGGCAGAGGAAGGCCGGCUCUCCUCGGGGGGGGGCGGCAGCCCCGGCCCCUCCCACAGCAGCAUCUACCUCAACAGCCAUCAGAUCGCCAUGGAGACGGAGGAGCGAGGACGGGACGACGGGUGGCCCGGGACGAGCCGGCCGCCGACCUGGGGCGCCGACGGGGACUGGCCGCUCCGGAACGGCGCCUGGGGUCCGGCGGGGGAGAGGGAGAGUGGGGAGGAAGAGGAGGGAGAGGGGGGAGAGGAGGGAGAGGAGGAAGAGGAGGAAGAGGGGGCAGAGGGCUGGCUGGAGGCGCGGUGUUAGCGGUGUUAGCGGGGGGAAACGGAUGAGCGAGGCUCGGUCUGCCAACACUCGGAGGGAUCCUUUGAUCCCCCGCCGGGAUCACGGCGCGUCCACGAUGACGAGGGCGGCUUCCGGCUGUCUGUCUUGGCGUUUUCCCGCCUUAAGGUCAGACGACAACGGAACAAAUAAUCUGAAAUGUUUUGGCUCGCCCCUGGUAAAACCUGCUCUACGGCAGUGUGCUGUAACCUACGCUUGGUUUAUAGGGAGUAGUUCACGAGGUGAGCAGGUGUCCCCCUUGAUGUGGGACCUCACUGUUUGUCCCCCGUCCCGCAUAUCGAGACGAUGUACCGCAGGACAGGGUGUGAUCGUGGGGCAGUGUUUGAUGUGUUUUAAACCGCGCACCUGUAGUUCAAGCGCAGGUUAAUGUGUCACUACUUUUGCUGCCUGCUACACCGUGCCCAACGUCGAAUACUGCGACCCACAACAAAGUAACAAGCCAUACAGCUUUACGUUUAUUCAGUGUCACACACAGGCACGCCCUCAAGCCACAUGCGAGAAUGUGUACGUUUUGAAUUGGACAUAAAUAAAACAUUGUUAGACUAGCUUUCUGCAGCUGUACCGUGUCACACAUUGUCCCAGCACAAACAUACUCUUUGACCCACGUCUGGUUUGUUGGGUGGUGGUCACCCAAGGCCCCCCUUCAGGGCGGGGCACGAGCAGAAGCAUAUGAAACCUACCGCCAUGGCACGCUUUUGCAAGCAGACAAAACAUUUGCCCGGUCUGGGCCAAGAUGCCAAGGUUCAGCCCUGGCGUGAAGUCGCGCAGUGAGCCGUACCAUGAGCCUGCCGAGGUGCUAGACCCGCGCUGCUCAGUGGAAACUCAACACCGGAACGCGUGUGGUCAGGCUCCUGUAUCUCAACGGUGCGGAGCGGCGGAAAUGCAGCAUGACUGGUCCAGGGAGGCCUUUGAGGGCAGGGUAGCAAAUACUACAUAUUGUAAAUAUUGUUAGUCACGGCAAUCCAUAUAAAAAGAUAUAGCUGAAAUAUAUCUUGUAUAUAUCUUAUGGUCCAUAGUGUUUACAUGUGGUCGAUAUUGUUUAAAUGUGAUCGAUAGUGUUUAACUAUGGUCGAUAGUGUUUAAAUGUUCUUUUCCCUCACUCUCCACCUCAUCCCUAACUCUCCACCUCAAGCUGGUGUGUAGUGAGCGUUCUGGCACCGAUUGGCUGCCGUGCAUCACCCAAGUGGGUGCUACAUAUUGGUGGUGGUUAGUGAGGUCCCCCCUUCACUUUAGGCGUCUUUGAGUGUUAUUAAUUAUUAUUAUUCUUCAUGUUUAACCUCUGUUUUCCUUUUAUUCCUAGUCUGUUUUACAUAGUUUUGAAUGAUGACUAUAUGCUCUGUAAGGUGUCCUUGGGUGUCUUGAAAGGCGCCUCUAAAUUAAAUGUAUUAUUAUUAUUAUAUUAUUAAAUAUGAAAGAAAUGCAUAAUGUAUACCGGUAUUCGUGCAUUACAUGAUGGACGUCUAGCUUGUCACAACUUGUGGACAAUAUAAUAAAAAGCAAAGCCUUCAAUGUGAGUUGUUAUGAUUUUUAAGUUACGGUGUAGUCAUAGGAUGCAUAAUUCUUUUU
ensembl:lncRNA